GACGAACGCUGGCGGCGUGCUUAACACAUGCAAGUCGAGCGGUAAGGCCCUUUCGGGGGUACACGAGCGGCGAACGGGUGAGUAACACGUGGGUGACCUGCCCUUAGCUCUGGGAUAAGCCUGGGAAACUGGGUCUAAUACCGGAUAUGACUCCAUGACGCAUGUUGUGGGGUGGAAAGCCUUGUGCGGCUAGGGAUGGGCCUGCGGCCUAUCAGCUUGUUGGUGGGGUGAUGGCCUACCAAGGCGACGACGGGUAGCCGGCCUGAGAGGGCGACCGGCCACACUGGGACUGAGACACGGCCCAGACUCCUACGGGAGGCAGCAGUGGGGAAUCUUGCGCAAUGGGCGAAAGCCUGACGCAGCGACGCCGCGUGGGGAUG
rnacentral:rRNA from 1 species